GCCAUCCUUGGGAUACCACCCUUGUAGUACUGGGACUCUAACCAUAGGCCAUGAAUCUGGUCUUGGGACACUGUCAGGUGGGCAGUUUGACUGGGGCGGUCGCCUCCCAAAAGGUAACGGAGGCGCUCAAAGGUUCUCUCAGUACGGUCGGAAAUCGUACGUAGAGUGUAAAGGCAAAAGAGAGCUUGAUUGCAAGACAUACAGGUCGAGCAAGGAUGAAAAUCGGACUUAGUGAUCCGGUGGUUCUGCGUGGAAGGGCCAUCGCUCAACGGAUAAAAGCUACCCUGGGGAUAACAGGCUUAUCUCCCCCAAGAGUCCACAUCGACGGGGAGGUUUGGCACCUCGAUGUCGGCUCAUCACAUCCUGGGGCUGUAGUAGGUCCCAAGGGUUGGGCUGUUCGCCCAUUAAAGUGGUACGCGAGCUGGGUUCAGAACGUCGUGAGACAGUUCGGUCCCUAUCCGUCGCAGGCGUAGGAAAUUUGAGAAGACCUGUCCUUAGUACGAGAGGACCGGGAUGGACGUACCUCUGGUGUACCAGUUGUCCUGCCAAGGGCAUGGCUGGGUAGCUAUGUACGGAAUGGAUAAGCGCUGAAAGCAUCUAAGCGCGAAGCCAACUUCAAGAUAAGAUUUCCCACCGCAAGGGUAAGACCCCAGAAAGACUAUCUGGUUGAUAGGUCGAAGGUGUAAGUGCAGCAAUGUAUUUAGCUUAUCGAUACUAAUAGGUCGAGGACUUGACCAAU
rnacentral:rRNA from 1 species